rnacentral:misc_RNA from 1 species
UCUCCGUUGGUGAACCAGCGGAGGGAUCAUUACCGAGUUUACAACUCCCAAACCCAAUGUGAACGUUACCAAACUGUUGCCUCGGCGGGAUCUUUGCCCUGGGUGCGUCGCAGCCCCGGACCAAGGCGCCCGCCGGAGGACCAACCUAAAACUCUUCUUGUAUACCCCCUCGCGGGUUUUUUUAUAAUCUGAGUCUUCUCGGCGCCUCUCGUAGGCGUUUCGAAAAUGAAUCAAAACUUUCAACAACGGAUCUCUUGGUUCUG